rnacentral:snRNA from 1 species
GUCUACACAUAUACUAAAAUUGGACUGAUACAGAGAUUAGCAUGGCCCUGUGCAAGUAUGACAUGCAAAUUUGUGAAGCGUUCCCUAUUUUG